rnacentral:rRNA from 1 species
GAGUUUGAUCGUGGCUCAGGAUGAACGCUAGCGGCAGGCUUAAUACAUGCAAGUCGAGGGGCAGCAGGACUGUAGCAAUACAGUUGCUGGCGACCGGCAAACGGGUGCGGAACACGUACGCAAUCUACCCGAAACUGGGGCAUAGCCCGGGGAAACCCGGAUUAAUACCCCGUAACACUUUGAAGUGGCAUCACUUUAUAGUUAUAGCUCCGGCGGUUUUGGAUGAGCGUGCGGCUGAUUAGGUAGUUGGCGGGGUAACGGCCCACCAAGCCUACGAUCAGUAACUGGUGUGAGAGCACGACCAGUCACACGGGCACUGAGACACGGGCCCGACUCCUACGGGAGGCAGCAGUAAGGAAUAUUGGUCAAUGGACGCAAGUCUGAACCAGCCAUGCCGCGUGGAGGAUGAAGGCCCUCUGGGUUGUAAACUUCUUUUAUAGGGGACGAAACCUCUUUUUCUUGAGAGACUGACGGUACCCUAGGAAUAAGCACCGGCUAACUCCGUGCCAGCAGCCGCAGU